GGACGAACGCUGGCGGCGUGCUUAACACAUGCAAGUCGAACGAUGAAGCGGUGCUUGCACCGUGGAUUAGUGGCGAACGGGUGAGUAAUACGUGAGUGACCUACCUUUGACUCUGGGAUAAGCCUGGGAAACUGGGUCUAAUACCGGAUACGACCAAUCUCUGCAUGGGGUGUUGGUGGAAAGCGUUAUGGAGUGGUUUUAGAUGGGCUCACGGCCUAUCAGCUUGUUGGUGAGGUAAUGGCUUACCAAGGCGACGACGGGUAGCCGGCCUGAGAGGGUGACCGGCCACACUGGGACUGAGACACGGCCCAGACUCCUACGGGAGGCAGCAGUGGGGAAUAUUGCACAAUGGGCGCAAGCCUGAUGCAGCGACGCCGCGUGAGGGAUGACGGCCUUCGGGUUGUAAACCUCUGUUAGCAUCGAAGAAGCGAAAGUGACGGUAGGUGCAGAGAAAGCGCCGGCUAACUACGU
rnacentral:rRNA from 1 species